rnacentral:rRNA from 1 species
CCUACGGGCGGCAGCAGUAGGGAAUUUUCCACAAUGGGCGAAAGCCUGAUGGAGCAACGCCGCGUGGGUGAAGAAGGUCUUCGGAUCGUAAAACCCUGUUGUUAGAGAAGAAAGUGCGUGAGAGUAACUGUUCACGUUUCGACGGUAUCUAACCAGAAAGCCACGGCUAACUACGUGCCAGCAGCCGCGGUAAUACGUAGGUGGCAGGCGUUAUCCGGAUUUAUUGGGCGUAAAGGGAACGCAGGCGGUCUUUUAAGUCUGAUGUGAAAGCCUUCGGCUUAACCGGAGUAGUGCAUUGGAAACUGGGAGACUUGAGUGCAGAAGAGGAGAGUGGAACUCCAUGUGUAGCGGUGAAAUGCGUAGAUAUAUGGAAGAACACCAGUGGCGAAAGCGGCUCUCUGGGCUGUAACUGACGCUGAGGUUCGAAAGCGUGGGUAGCAAACAGGAUUAGAUACCCCAGUAGUC